CUGCAGGUGAGUGGCGGUGGGCGGCUACGGGCUGUGCCGGGGCGGGAACCUGGCGUCCGGGCGGGUGCGUGCGUGUCUGCCGGGCUCUCGUUUGGAAGGAGCUGCACGUGCGCCGUGGGGAGUGACAGCCCCAGGGGCGUCUCCCCCGGACCGGCGUGACGGCCUCGGGAGCCCCCUGACCAGUGAGAUGGCCUCAGGGGUCGCUUCAUUACCAGCUGCUCACGCACUUGAACCUUCCCUUGUUUUUAGUCGAAAUGGCGUCAUGUCCAAGGUUUCUUCCCGAGCAAGUUGGAGACGAAAUGUCGGUACAGGCAGGUCUCUGCCAGCACCCGUGAUCUCACUGUUGGGGUGACUCCCCAGAAGCGAAGUCACAGUAGGACUGUAAGGCCUUUGUAAGUUGUCCAGCGGCACCCCCAGCGGGGCACUUACUCUCCAGCGUUGGUGGAGGACCGUGCCUGUCUCCCCCAACCUUCUCCUCGCCCCCAAGGUGCUGCCACAUUAGAGUCAAAAGUGAUAUUUUAAAUUAUAUUUCUUCAAAAAAUUUUUUUAACGUUUAUUCAUUUUUAAGAGACAGAAUUGGAGCAGGGGAGGGGCAGAGAGAGAGGGAGACACAGAAUCCGAAGCAGGUUCCAAGCUCUGAGCUGUCAGCACAGAGCCCGACGCAGGGCCUCGAACUCACAAACCGCAGGAUCACGACUUGAGCCGAAGUCGGACGCCGAACCGACUGAGCCACCCAGGCGCCCCUAAAUUACAUUUCUCAAUUGCAAAUGAGGUGGGACAAAUGAGGGACUUAUGUUAAAAAAUAUAGUGGCCACUUGUCUGCUUUCUUUUUGUGGUUACUUGUUUGUGACUUUUACCAAUUUUCACGUUUUCUCAUUAAUACGUAGUGGUCUUUAUAUAUUAAGGAUAUGCAUCUUUAUGUUACAAACAUACCCCCACCCAGUUGUUGUUUUUUUUCAUUUCUUUGUUUAUCCUAAAUUUCUUUGUGUAGUUAAAUCUGUCAGACUUUAGUAUCAAGCAUAGCAAAGUCGCUUCUCAAUCCAAAAGUGCACCAGUCAAAUAACGUUUGUAAGUUUAUUUAGUUAGUAGAGCAUGUGAGAGUGGGAAGGGCACAGAGAGAGAGAGAGAGAGAGAGAGAGAGAGAGAGAGAAUCCCAAGCAGGCUCUGAGCGUUCAGCACAGAGCCUGAUGUGGGGCUCGAUUCCACGAACCAUGAAAUCAUGGCCGGAGUUGAACUCCAGAGUCGGAUGCCUAACCGCCUGAGUCACCCAGGCACCCCUCAAAUGACUUUUUAUUUUGGGGGUUUCAUAUUUUUAUAUUCAAAUCUUUACGAUCAUCAAGAAAAAAGUAAUGCCCUAGACACGUCUCCAGACGUUUGAUCGCUGACCGGAGGCCUUGUGGGCUUGUUCCUCGUGGAGCGAAGCCACCGCAGGCAGCGAGCGAGCAGGGGCUGCCACACCCAGCUGCGCUCUCCGUCUGCUGGGGACGGGACGGGGGAGCCAGCGUGGUCCAGACAGCAUUCCCAGGGGGGAUCCUCCGGGACACUAGUUCCUGGGGUGUCUCGACUUGGAUUUCUAGUGGCAGAAACAGGCACAGUGGAUGAGGUGGCUCCUUCAGGGUCUCCAGGAGCAGCUCUGACCUCUCUGAAGGCAUUCUGGGCUCGUCCCCACUUUCCAGACGGGCAUUUUCCUCCCCGUGUCUUCCUUCUUACUCAGGCAGGUGUACCCACUGCUGGCGUUCCCACAAGGCACAGCGAGGCGCGCCCCCAGGUCUGGUCUGCAGCACAGCAAUGAGACGGCCACCCUGAUGGACACACACACAGCACCCCAGCUAGCUUGGGCCCAGACCAGGUGGCUGGAAGAGUAUGAUGAGUGAGAAUCUGGCUAGCCUCCCACCCACUGCCCUCUCGGGCUCCGGGCUCCCUCUGUCCUGAAGACUUAAGGCCAUGCUUGAGGGCUGUCGAAGCUGAGGACUCCUAUCCAGUUUACUGCUGUUGCUGCGGUGUGGGACGAGUGGCGCUCGGGACAGCACCGUCUCCCCUCCGUGCAGACACACGCGCUGCCUCGGGCUCUGCCACCACAUACGCCGUCUGCUGCGUCGGGGGGCGGGGCCUGGGUGGAGUGUGGCCACGGCUGCCAGAGCAUUCUGCAGAACCCCCCACACCUGCCUCUAUUCUCCCUUGAGAUCAAAGAACCCCAGUGUCCCACGAACAAACACUCACCCCUUCUUUGGGCCCUGCCUUGACGCUGCCCUUCCAAGUCCCGGACGUCCAGGCUGGGCCUCUCCCUCCCCCACCGGACCUUAACCCUGGCCAGAUCCGGUCCACACAGGGCUCUUCACAGUCCCUCGCUUUGGGAUGAAAUGAUUUUAGCAAAUGCCAACGCGCACAGAGUGGCGGAAGAGAAACGGGUUACAGCAGAACACACAUUUUAAGGGAAUAAAGAGCACCGUGUGUUGCUUGCUGGCCCUGA